UACGUAGGGUGCGAGCGUUAAUCGGAAUUACUGGGCGUAAAGCGUGCGUAGGCGGUUUGUUAAGUCUGCUGUGAAAUCCCCGGGCUCAACCUGGGAAUGGCAGUGGAUACUGGCAAGCUAGAGUGUGUCAGAGGAUGGUGGAAUUCCCGGUGUAGCGGUGAAAUGCGUAGAGAUCGGGAGGAACAUCAGUGGCGAAGGCGGCCAUCUGGGACAACACUGACGCUGAGGCACGAAAGCGUGGGGAGCAAACAGG
rnacentral:rRNA from 1 species